GAGUUUGAUUCUGGCUCAGGAUGAACGCUGGCGGCGUGCCUAACACAUGCAAGUCGAGCGCGGUUGUGCUUAGUAUUGAGUGUUUUAUUGAUAUAAAACAUUGAAUUCUAUGCACAACUGAGCGGCGGACGGGUGAGUAACGCGUGGGUAACCUGCCCUAUACACAUGGAUAACAUACUGAAAAGUUUACUAAUACAUGAUAAAAUAGUUUUUCGGCAUCGAAGAAUUAUCAAGGUGUCAGCGGUAUAGGAUGGACCCGCGUCUGAUUAGCUAGUUGGUGAGAUAACUACCCACCAAGGCGACGAUCAGUAGCCGACCUGAGAGGGUGAUCGGCCACAUUGGAACUGAGACACGGUCCAAACUCCUACGGGAGGCAGCAGUGGGGAAUAUUGCACAAUGGGCGCAAGCCUGAUGCAGCAACGCCGCGUGAACGAUGAAGGUCUUCGGAUCGUAAAGUUCUGUUGCAGGGGAAGAUAAUGACCGUACCCUNGAGCCG
rnacentral:rRNA from 1 species